rnacentral:rRNA from 1 species
AGUGAACGCUGGCGGUAGGCCUAACACAUGCAAGUCGAACGGCAGCACAGUAAGAGCUUGCUCUUACGGGUGGCGAGUGGCGGACGGGUGAGAAAUACAUCGGAAUCUACUUUUUCGUGGGGGAUAACGUAGGGAAACUUACGCUAAUACCGCAUACGACCUACGGGUGAAAGCAGGGCAUCUUCGGACCUUGCGCGAUUGAAUGAGCCGAUGUCGGAUUAGCUAGUUGGCGGGGUAAAGGCCCACCAAGGCGACGAUCCGUAGCUGGUCUGAGAGGAUGAUCAGCCACACUGGAACUGAGACACGGUCCAGACUCCUACGGGAGGCAGCAGUGGGGAAUAUUGGACAAUGGGCGCAAGCCUGAUCCAGCCAUACCGCGUGGGUGAAGAAGGCCUUCGGGUUGUAAAGCCCUUUUGUUGGGAAAGAAAAGCAGCAGGUUAAUACCCCGCUGUUCUGACGGUACCCAAAGAAUAAGCACCGGCUAACUUCGUG